rnacentral:rRNA from 1 species
GUUUGAUCCUGGCUCAGGAUUAACGCUGGCGGCGUGCCUAAUACAUGCAAGUCGAACGGAAACCUUCGGGUUUUAGUGGCGAACGGGUGAGUAACACGUAAGCAACCUACCCUAAAGACGAGGAUAACCAUUGGAAACAGUGGCUAAGACUGGAUAGGAAGAAAUAAGGCAUCUUUUUUCUUUUAAAAGACCUAGUGAUAGGUAUACUUUAGGAGGGGCUUGCGCCAUAUUAGUUAGUUGGUAGGGUAAUGGCCUACCAAGACGAUGAUGUGUAGCUGGACUGAGAGGUUGAACAGCCACAUUGGGACUGAGACACGGCCCAAACUCCUACGGGAGGCAGCAGUAGGGAAUUUUCGGCAAUGGAGGAAACUCUGACCGAGCAACGCCGCGUGAACGACGAAGUACUUUGGUAUGUAAAGUUCUUUUAUCAAGGAAGAAAAGCAAGUGGUGAACCAUUUGUUUGCCGGUACUUGAUGAAUAAGCCCCGGCUAAUUAUGUGCCAGCAGCCGCGGUAAGACAUAAGGGGCAAGUGUUAUCCGGAAUUAUUGGGCGUAAAGGGUGCGUAGGCGGUCUAGUAAGUCAGUGGUGUAAUGGCAACGCUCAACGUUGUCCGGCUAUUGAAACUGCUAAACUUGAGUUAGAUAGAGGCGAGUGGAAUUCCAUGUGUAGCGGUAAAAUGCGUAAAUAUAUGGAGGAACACCAGAGGCGUAGGCGGCUCGCUGGGUCUUAACUGACGCUGAGGCACGAAAGCGUGGGGAGCAAACAGGAUUAGAUACCCUGGUAGUCCACGCCGUAAACGAUGAGUACUAAGUGUCGGGUUAAACCGGUACUGAAGUUAACACAUUAAGUACUCCGCCUGAGUAGUACGUACGCAAGUAUGAAACUUAAAGGAAUUGACGGGACUCCGCACAAGCGGUGGAUCAUGUUGUUUAAUUCGAAGAUACCCGAAAAACCUUACCAGGUCUUGACAUGUUUUUGCGAAACGGUAGUAAUAUCGUGGAGGUUAUCAGAAACACAGGUGGUGCAUGGUUGUCGUCAGCUCGUGUCGUGAGAUGUUAGGUUAAGUCCUAAAACGAGCGAAACCCUUAUCGUUAGUUGCCAGCACGUUAUGGUGGGGACUUUAACGAGACUGCCAGUGAUAAAUUGGAGGAAGGUGAGGAUCACGUCAAAUCAGCAUGCCCCUUAUGACCUGGGCUACAAACGUGAUACAAUGGCUGUUACAAAGGGUAGCUGAAACGCAAGUUCUUGGCCAAUCCCCAAAAACAGUCUCAGUCCGGAUUGAAGUCUGCAACUCGACUUCAUGAAGUUGGAAUCGCUAGUAAUCGCGAAUCAGCAUGUCGCGGUGAAUACGUUCUCGGGGUUUGUACACACCGCCCGUCAAACCACGAAAGUUGGCAAUACCCCAAAACGGUAGCCUAACUCGUUUAUCGAGAGGGCGCUGUCUAAGGUAGGGUCGAUGAUUGGGGUUAAGUCGUAACAAGGUAUCCCUACCGGAAGGUGGGGAUG